AGCAGUAGCCGCGGUAAUACGUAGGGGGCAAGCGUUAUCCGGAAUUACUGGGUGUAAAGGGAGCGUAGACGGUUAAACAAGUCUGAAGUGAAAUGCCGGGGCUCAACCCCGGAGCUGCUUUGGGAACUGUAGAACUGGAGUGUCGGAGGGGUAAGCGGAAUUCCAUGUGUAGCGGUGAAAUGCGUAGAGAUUAGGAGGAACACCAGUGGCGAAGGCGGCUUUCUGGACGAAAACUGACGCUGAGGCGCGAAAGCCAGGGGGGCGAACGGGAUUAGAUACCCGCGUAGUCCCUGUCUCUUAUAC
rnacentral:rRNA from 1 species